rnacentral:rRNA from 1 species
UACAGAGGGUGCAAACGUUGUUCGGAAUUACUGGGCGUAAAGCGCGUGUAGGCUGCUCGGAAAGUCGGAUGUGAAAGCCCUGGGCUUAACCUAGGAAGUGCAUUCGAAACUUCCGAGCUGGAGUUCUGGAGAGGAAGGCGGAAUUCUCGGUGUAGAGGUGAAAUUCGUAGAUAUCUGGAGGAACACCGGUGGCGAAGGCGGGUCUCUGGGCCGAAACUGACGCUGAGGAGCGAAAGCGUGGGGAGCAAACAGG